GUGCCAGCAGCCGCGGUAAUUCCAGCUUCAGUAGCAUCUACUAAAGUUGCUGCGGUUAAAAGGCUCGCAGUUGAAUGUCAGUAACAAGUGCAGCGAUGGUGGACGUUGGAGUGUGUUGUUCAUUUAGUGGCUGUUUUGUUGCGUUCGCGUGCAUACGGUCAUUUGUGGCUUCACGUCUUACUCCCGUCCGUAACAAGCCUCCUCACUUGCUUACAAAAACGGAUUUGUGGUGUGUUUGCCGAGUCUCUGUAACGCUUAACGGCGUUAUAUAUUCGGUUUACACUUUGGAUUCAAGGUCACCUUGAGUAAAUCAGAGUGCUCAAAGCAGUCGUAAGGAACGUGUGGGUGGUAACAUUCGCAUGUUCUGUGAUAUGGAUGUCUUCAUUGACAGACAGUCUUGGUUUUGCAUGGUAUGUCGAAAGACGCCGUAUCUUGUUGGUUACGAGUCUUGUGCGGUGGUGUGUAAAUCGAACGUGUUCCCUCUGCUUUUCUCAUUCUUUUUCUUAAUCGAGGGAGAGUGUGUUAGUACGGAUACGGUAGAGAGCCCACUCAAGACCAACAAGUGCGGAAUGAUUAAGAGACCCGGUCGAAGGCAUUGGUAUUGCGAGGCGAGAGGUGAAAUUCUAUGACCCCCGCAAGACCUCCUGAAGCGAAAGCGUCUGCCAAGGAC
rnacentral:rRNA from 1 species